UUACAAAAAGAUUAGGUCCCAGAGCAGUGCAAUAUUUUACUCUAGUUUUUAACUAUAUACAAAUCUAAGGCGCUUAAAUCUUUAGAUUUCCUUGUAGAGUUGAAAAGUCAGAUAAAACUUGACUGAAGACAAGUUGUAGAAGGUACCUCAGAAUAGAUACAGUUGGAGUCUCAAAGACUAGACACAGUGCAGUGGCACUGAUCAGAAUAUAAACGAAGUAGCCCCAAAAAUCAAACAACUACAAAAAAUAUAUCAAAAACGAUAACUAUAUCAGUAAAUAAAAAUCUUACGAGUCCGAAGGUGCUGAAAUAAUCGGUUUGUUGUUUGUUGGCGACAAUGACAUGAAUAACUGUUAAAUGAAUCAAAUAAAUACUGUAUGACAGUUUGCCGAUGAGCAUAAAUACAGGAUGAGACAGAAAGGUGUUUACAGGGUCUGAAAUUUAAAACAAUAGUUAACACAUUUUUUUGUAAAAAACUUACCAGAAUGUCCUGUGCAACAACUAAGAAUGAUGAAACCUAUAGCUAGGGCCCACAAAGGUUUACAGAAUGUGUUAGAAAAGGCAGAACGAUAAACGUUGUGUGCUUCUCUCACUAGAACUGUCUGAUACAUCGUAAGAAUUAUUAUGACAGUCAUGGACAGAAUCCACAACACAUAAUUGACUCUCUUAGGAAUGGAUAUCUUUUGGUGGUUGUGUCUGUAUAGAACAUAACCUAAACACGUUCCGAUUAACCAAACUGGGAUACGACACAGAGGUGAAAAGUACUUACUCAAUGAACAACAAAGAACCUAUGUUGUUUUUAAUGACAGUCAUCCAAGUGUAGACGAAGGAGCACAGGCAAACAACGACGACUCCGAAGAAGGUUUUUCCCGGUUGUCUUUUGAAGCAGAAUACCAUAAAUGGAGUCAGAAGGUACAACUGGCUGUCCACAGAUACAUACCAAGAUUGACGCAAACACUGGAAAAAAAGGUCAAAAACGAGAUGAUUCAAGUUGCGACGUACUCGUUCGUCACGUUCUACAGCGUUGCUGACAAAGAACAAAGUAUCCACACCCCUUUUUUCACAGUUUGUUGCCAUGGUGGUCAGCAAAACUGUGGCUAGUAAAGCGGGUGUCAAUCUCAAAAUCCGAUGACCAUAAACCAGUGAAAAAUUGAGUUUGUAUUUGUCG